CGGUCCAGCGUUUGGUCAUUUCACAAACACAUCACACACAAAGGCACAAAGGGACACCAUAACAGAAGGCAAAAGAAAACGAAGCGGAUCAGAAGUUUAUAAUUUGAAAAAGCGUCAAUUAAUGUAAUUAACUUUUCGGUGGCAUUUGCAUACCGAGUGCCGCAGCUCGGUUGGCCGCACUUUCCACGUUUACCAAUUGAUUCACGGGGUGUGUGUGUGAGAGAGGGUGUGUAGCAGGUGGUAAUCCUUUUGGCCGCGCACAGGUACAAACAAGCGCAGCACCAAACCACACACACAACACAGCAUGCUGUGGAAGCAUGAGUGCCGGCAGUUAACGUGUGUGUGAGAUUACUUCACGUAAUUAGUUGGCCCCGUGGAACACACUGUUGCGCCGCUGUUGUGUGCAGACAAUUGGAGAAACCGAAAAUGUCGCCACAAUCCAUUCCAGGAAAAUGGGAAGAACCAUUUGAAAGGAUGAAGAGAGCGAGGGUCUUUUGAGAGGUGAUAUAUUUCCCCCCACCCCUGCCCCUUCUUCAGCUUGCCCAGGGGAAAAACAAACAACCGUAGCGCGGCAAUUUAUAUCCUUCCGUUGAACAUCUUUCUCUCUCUCUCUCGCUCAUGCGUUGAUACCGUUUUGCCGUGCGAAUGAACUGUGUGGAGUGUAACUGACAGCCGAAAGAAUGCUGGAAUGCAGAGCACUGGUCCGGGGGGAGGAAUCCUUUGGAAGAGACCCUCUGAGAAAAGCUCUUUAAGAAUUUAAGGUUCAAAGGCCAAAAAGUUGAAACUAAAAUUACGGCCCCCCUGCCCUCAGUUUAUGCUGGUGCGAAGCCUUCAGCAAGAAAAAGCUCUUCUAAAUCCCUCCAGCAAGUCUCAUAGUCCAUGCCCAAUGUCGCAGUGGCAAUAGCUUAUGGGGUCUCGCGCAGGCAAAAAGAUUUACCACUUCCACUACCACCGCCCAGUGCUUUCACGCCCAGUUCGCGCGGGUUCCGUGUCGCACGGAAGCUUUCGGUGCAGUUUCGCACUGCAUGCCAACCGCAUCAUCAGACCUAUGGAGGGGACUCUGACCCAGUCACAGAGUCGCCAGCAGAAUUCCCCCCCGUCUCAUACUUGGUACAUGCAAAGAAGUAAUUGUGAACCCAAAAAGGGGCUGUACUGGCGAGCUGGGUUGCGUCGAAACAGUAAACCGAAGUGUUUGCCCGAUCCGAUUAAUA